CAAUAGCGUAUAUUAAAGUUGUUGCAGUUAAAAAGCUCGUAGUUGGAUUUCUGGUGGGAGCGAUCGGUCUGGCGCUUAGCGCGAGUACUUGCAUCGUCUCCGGCCAUCCUUGGGGAGAGUCUGUCUGACAUUAAGUUGUCGGGCAGAGGAUCCUCAUCGUUUACUGUGAAAAAAUUAGAGUGUUCAAAGCAGGCUUAUGCCGUUGAAUAUAUUAGCAUGGAAUAAUAAGAUAGGACUUUGGUACUAUUUUGUUGGUUUGCGCACCAAAGUAAUGAUUAAUAGGGACAGUUGGGGGUAUUCGUAUUCCGUUGUCAGAGGUGAAAUUCUUGGAUUUACGGAAGACGAACUACUGCGAAAGCAUUUACCAAGGAUGUUUUCAUUAA
rnacentral:rRNA from 1 species